CGCGGGGUGGAGCAGCUUGGUAGCUCGUCGGGCUCAUAACCCGAAGGUCGUAUGGUUCAAAUCCUGCCCCCGCAACCA
rnacentral:tRNA from 1 species